UCAGUAAUUCUAUACAAUGUGAUAUAAAACUGAAAAUAAAAUAUUUAAAUAGCAGACGUGUUGAAAUUGCCGAUUUGUACAAAGUCACUUGAAUGUUUUUUUAUAAAUAGCACACAUAGACAAUAUUUAACUUUAACUAUCUCAAUCAGUACAUCUUAACAUAAACACUAGCACUUGCAUAGUUCGAAUUAGUAAUAUAAAUCUCGUUGUCAAAGAUAAAAAAGAAUUAACUAGAAACACAAGUAAUAACAUAAGAAGUGAAAAUAAGAAAAAUAAAACUAUUUUGCAUAUGCAUGUCACGUUUUGCAAUUCAAUCUACCACCAAAAAAAAUCACUUGUAUGAAGUAAAUGUGUGUGAAAUAAACAUUUUCAUAGAUUAUUUACAUGUAACGUUAGCCUUAAUUUACAAGCUUUUGAGGGGAAUAAGCUAUACAUUGAGAAAUGGAUAUAGUUUACUCUAAGGUCAAAACUGUAAGUAAUUAUU
rnacentral:lncRNA from 1 species